GCCGAUUAGCUGCCGAAUCAGUCGCAGGGACCCAUGUCGGCAGCUAGAAUCGGCCCGUGUAUGGGGACCUUAAGUCUUGCUGGCAGUUCUGUUACCUGGAGGGAUAGAGAGACAGUGCGUAGUCCUGGGCUCCAUUAAUAAAAUAUGAGGGUUUAUUUUGGGCACGGGCGAUGACCUGGUUUUUUUCCAACAAUAGCAGGAACCUUUAGGCGCUUCUAGCACACCGAAGGCUCGUUAGGAACUGAGCCGCCGCCAUGUAUUAAUUAUACCAGCAAAAUGUAGAAUGGCAGCUUGUUCCUUGAGCAGAACCGCGGCAUUGGGUCUUGUUAUCCAAGCAGCGCUCAGAAACCGAGCCCCUCCCCCUUGGGACUGGCCUAGAAAACCGUAAAGGGCAAGUGCACCUUUAAACUAGCCGUAGGUCUAUUGGUUUUUUUCUCUGGUUUGUUUCGUUAUUUGCUUUCGUACUAUGCCUCGUGCCAAAAAGGAAACAUAUCCAGAUAAAGGCAGCCAUUUUGAAACUUGUGUGCCAUCCCGAGGAGCAACUAUAUCCACAAAAAUAAGGCAAAAAAACCAAAAUGUGGUCCUGUGAUGGCACUGCAGGAGUUUGAAAUGGGUUUUAGUAUCACUUUAAAGGAGAAGGAAAGGAACAAUAACUAGGGGGGGUGCCUAAUAUUAGGCUCCUCCCCCCGGGGAUUAUAAUCACAUACUUGUUACCCCAGACUGGUGCUCCUGUUAGCUUGGGGUAAAUGCAAGUGAUCCUCUUCCUUGGGGCAAUUUUCUGCUAAUAGGAACACCAACCAGGGGUGUUGGGUGAUUAUAAUCACUUGGGGGAGGGGCCUAACAUUUAGCCACCACCCCCAGUGAUUGUAACUUUUACUUCUCCUUGAUUAGCUUCCUGAAUCAGGAAGCUAAUUGUAAAGUGAGAUUUUUAAGGUUUUAGCUAGGCCUAGUUCUAAGGUUCUAGGUAACCCUAGAAACCACAUAACUCUUAAAUUAAAAAAAUAUAUAUAUAUAUAUAUUUAAAAGAAAAGCAAAAAGUCAAAAUAACUAUAUAGGUAUAUCAGUAUAACGAGGUUAUGGCCCUGACCUUAUGGAAGUACUGCUACUGCAAGGUUUAUAACAAACAGAACUGCUGGAUUCUAUUAAUACUUGAUCGCAUUAGUUGGCAACACAAAUCUUUAACCCAUAUAGGCUUUAACCUAUAUAAUGGGUAAGUUGGCCAUAAACAGUUAGAUCUACUCUUUUGAGAGCUGGCACAAUGGCUUGUUGGGUAAUUUCAAUACAAAUGGGCGUGUGUUUUUGAGUUCUUUAACAAUGUACUUUAGUAAUGCCUAAAAAAGUGUCCAAAACCAGUCCCAUGUACCACCCAAGGUGCCAAAACCAGUCCCAUGUACCACUCAAGGUGCCAAAACCAGUCCCAUGUACCACCCAAUGUGCCCAAACCAGUCCCAUGUACCACUCAAGGUGCCAAAACCAGUCCCAUGUACCACUCAAGGUGCCAAAACCAGUCCCAUGUACCACCCAAUGUGCCCAAACCAGUCCCAUGUACCACUCAAGGUGCCCCAACUAGUCCCAUGUUUCACUCAAGGCAGGCUUCAGGCUGGGGGGUGCAAGGUCCACUGGUGCUUCUGCCUCAGGGACCCCUGCACCCCCCCAAUGGCACCUACCACCUUCACCCCCCCCCAUAGAGGCCCCCAACACCCUCCCCUGAGCAAUUCUAAAAGAAACUUACCUGCGACGUGUCGGGGGAGGGAGUUGGCGGAUCACAGGAGCACCCUGGGGGGGAAUCGGAUCUGGCCCAGUCCGAUGCUGACUCAAGGUUCCCAACCAGUCCCAUGUGUCACUCAAGGUGCCCCAACCAGUCCCAUGUCCCACUCAAGGUGCCCAAACCAGUCCCAUGUACCACUCAAGGCAGGAUUUGGACUGGGGGGUGCAGGGCCAACCAGGGCUUCUGCCUCAGGGGCCCCUGUACCCCCCAAUGGCACCCUCCACCCCCCCCAUAGAGGCCCCCAACACCCUCCCCCGAGCAAUUCUAAAAGCAAAUUACCUGCGGCGUGUUGGGGGAGGGAGUUGGCGGAUCACAGGAGUGCCCUGGGGGGGAUCGGAUCUGGCCCAGUCUGAUGCUGAUUUAAGGUGCCCCAACCAGUCCCAUGUUCCACUCAAGGUGCCCCAACCAGUCCCAUGUUCCACUCAAGGUGCCCCAACCAGUCCCAUGUUUAACUCUAGGUGCCCCCACGAGGGCUUUCUAAACAACUCACCUCCAACAUGGAGCUGGGGGAGAUUUAACCAUUAGUAACCAUUAAGCUGGAUAUUCACUGGGCUACUUUACUAGUGGACUAGGCACUCUUGACAGCCUCUUUAACUUAUUGGACCAUGUAUGGGUCCUCAACUAUCCCCUUCCCAAGCAAUAUCUAAGAAGAGCUUGGAUCAGCCUACUGGGCAGUAAAUCUAGGUUUGCAUGCCUCCCAUUGAGAUCCAGUCCUUAGCUGGAGCUGAACGAUGGAGCUAAAUUAAUUUGCCCCACCACUUACAGUAAAUAGCCAGAUCGUCAAUGUUCAAUUGGUUUGGCAACCUCAAGAGUAGAUCUUACUGUGUAUGGCCAGCUCUAGUCUAAAGUAAUUACGUCUCUGAUUUCAUAGGGACUCACCACUAUUAGGACUUGCCCACCGUGUCCAUUGAAUGUAAAAUGGAAGCCAUAUCAAUAAUAAGGUCCAUUUGUGCUAUUCCCCAGGCGUGGGCAUGAGUUGUACCAAGGUGCCUGGGUUUAUCUCAUACCCCGCUUGAGAAUGGCUAGGGAAAGAAUCUCUGACCAGACUAUGGGUUGGGUGACCUUCAAAACGUAGAUAUUUCCCAGAUAUGUUGUACCCCAAAGAACCUUCUUAAAGAGGAACCUCUUUAAUCUCAGGCAACAGUAAAUGUAGGUUUGGUAGCUUACUGACCAGAAUGAAAGCUUUUAGUGGCCCUUUAGCUGUCCACUGUUUGUAUGCAAUGUGCUUAGCCAGGACUACAUGGAGCUCAGCUGCUGUGGGAACCCUAGCGGAGCACAACUCACCACUAUUACUUCAAGAAGAACUAUGAUGUACCUUGAAUUCCUCAGUCUUAACUGUGCCAGCUUCUGUGAUUCAUAAAUGCUCUUUCCUGUGUGCCCCGCCCACACACACACACACCAGCGGCCAAUAAUAUCCACUCUUGCUCCUUCUAAGAUGUCUGCUAUUGACCAUUUCACUUUUUUUCCAUUAAAUUCAAUAUUUAUUUAAAAAAAAAAAAAAAAA